rnacentral:rRNA from 1 species
GAUGAACGCUGGCGGCGUGCUUAACACAUGCAAGUCGAACGAAGCACUUUAUUUGAUUUCCUUCGGGACUGAUUAUUUUGUGACUGAGUGGCGGACGGGGGAGUAACUCGUGGUUAACCUGCCUUGUACAGGGGGAUAACAGUGGGAAACGGCUGCUAAUACCGCAUAAGCGCACAGCAUCGCAUGAGGCAGUCGGAUAAACUCCGGUGGUAUAAGCUGGACCCGCGUUGGAUUAGCUAGUGGGUGAGGUAACGGCCAACCAAGGCGACGAUCCAGAGCCGGCCUGAGAGGGUGGCCGGCAGCAUUGGGACUGAGACACGGCGCAAACUCCUGCGAGAGGCCGCAGUGGGGAAUAUUGAACAUUGGGCGAAAGCCUGAUGCAGCGGCGCCGCGUGAGCGAAGAAGUAUUUCGGUAUGUAAAGCUCUAUCAGCAGGGAAGAUAAUGACGGUACCUGACUAAGAGGCACCGGCUACUUACGU